rnacentral:rRNA from 1 species
AUGAGUGGCGGCGGCGGCGACCUGUUCGGUGCGCUGCCGGACGAGCUCCUGCGCCACGUGCUCUCCUUCCUGCCCUCGCGCGAUGCCGUGCAUACAUCCCUCCUCUCCCGCCGCUGGCGCCACCUCUGCAGAUCAGCCCCCGCCAUCCACGUCCGCGGCGAGGGAGACGCCUUCUGCGUCUUCGUCAACAGCCUCCUAAUGGGCCGAGACGCUGCCUCCGCGCCGCCGCUGCGGUCGUUCGAGAUCGACGCCAACCUGAAGAAACUACGCGAUUGCAACUACUGCGAGUACAAGCCCGACUACUGCAGCUGUUCGAAAAAUCCGCGUCCCUCGGACCGCUGGGAGGUCAACCCCGAGGUCGACCUGUGGGUCACGCACGCACUCUCGGUUGGCCGCGCCCGCUCCCUCACGGCUCGCUUCCGUCAGCAGCAAGACGUGCUCUGGAAGCGGCGGCGCCCCCUCCCAUUCGCCUCGCCGCACCUGACGACGAUCCACCUCGACACCGUCCGCCUCGUCGACGGCCAACUCGACUUCUCCUGCUGCCCGGCGCUACUGCGCCUCAAUCUCCAGCGUUGCGACCUCUAUGGAGACGCGUUCGUAUCGCCCUCGCUGGAGCGCCUCACCAUCGACGACUGCCGCACCGAUAUCGAUGAUGACUGGGAUGCAGGACCAGGCGAGAAAAUGCACACGAGCGUGUCCACGCCGAGACUCCGCUUUCUGAAGAUAUCUAAUAACUACGAUAAGAAACAGUUCCUUGAGAUGAUGCCUUGGUUGACAAAGGAGAGUGUCCGGUAUACAAAUGAAUGGUUAUAUGAUGGUGAUUCAGAAUCAGAUUCGGAGGGAUAG